UAACCGAUUAAACUUUUUAAGGCUCUGCUCACAAUCGCCGCAGUCUGUUUGGUUUUAUGGUUGUUGUUUUUUUAAGACGAUCGCACUUCUCGGGUGCCACACAACCAUGAACAACGGUGGAUGUGAGAAUCAAAAUAAAGAUGGACCGCCUUCAACAAAUUCCUGCCCUGAAACCUUUAAUGACAUGAACAUUCCAGAGAGUUUGGUCACAGAUCUGCCUGGCAUCACUGUCAGUAACCCGCUGCCUUCAUCUCUGCCGACAGAAGAGGAAUUUUCUGAGUGUGAAAUGAAUACUGAAGAACAAGUUUCCCCUACUCUGGAAAUUUCAGAUCAAGAAGUGAAUGAUGACCCACAAUUGGAGGAAGAAGAAACUACAAAAACUGAAGUAAUCCACAGAAAACCAUCUUCUAAAACUGAGCAGCACUCAAAUGGCAGUAACUCUCAACAAUGUAAGAUCACAGUAAAAAUGUCUUCAAACACUGCCCAUCAACGUAUCUAUGACAAGAAGAAUUAUUGUCUUUUCUGUGAGAAGCCUUAUGCAAAAAUUACAAGACAUCUGAAACAGAAGCAUUCAGACAAACCUGAUGUGGCCAAGGCACUCGCACACAGGAAAGGAUCAUCAUGCACUCCUUGCUAUUGGCCAAAGUAGCAAACAUGGGAAACUAUCAGCACAACUGUUCUGUCCUGACCUCUGGGGAAGGACUAAUCAUCCCAAAAAGGCAAGCAACCCGUCAAUCAGCUGGAACCAACUACCUACCUUGCAAGUUUUGUUUUGCUAUGUAUGUCAAGACAGAUCUCUGGAGGCAUUAUAAGCGUUGCAAACUCCGGUCAAAAGGAGACAUGGUCACAAGAAAAGUUCAGGCAAGUUCUUCCAUGAUGUUGCCCAUGGAUAUUGCGAUUUCCACUGGACUUCAGAGGGUUCUCCAGGACAUGUCAUAUGACAAUGUAACUCAGUUAGUAAAGGCAGACUCCCUUAUUAUUUCACUGGGUGAGAGAAUGUACCUCAGAAACGGAGAAGUUGGACGACAUCAAGCAGACAUCAGAAAUAAGAUGAGGGAACUUGCCAGACUUGUUCUGAUGGCAAGAAACAUUGACAAGGAUGUUGUUUUUUUGAAGGACUUGAUCUGUCCAGGAAAAUUCAACACAGUCCUUGAGGCUGUAAAACAGAUGACUGGGUUUAAUGAGUUAUCCAACAGAUUCAAAGUGCCUUCCACAGCACUAAAACUGCGGCAUUCUCUUGUGAAAGUGUCACAUAUUUUGCAAGGAGAGGCACUGCGUCAACAGAAUGUUGAUUUAAAAUCAAAAGCAGAGGAAUUCAACAAGUUAAUUGAACUAGAAUGGACAACACAUGUAUCAUCCAAUGCCCUGAAAACGCUUUACCAGAAAAAAUGGAAUAUGCCACAAAUACUGCCUUUGUCAGAAGACAUCAAAAAGCUCCAGGACCAUCUGAAAAACCUCCAGGUGGUCUACAAAAGAAAUCUCACAGAUAAACCAACAGCAAAAUCAUGUAGUGAACUCGCUCAAGUCACUCUGACACAGCUAAUACUGUUCAAUCGUCGUCGUGAAGGAGAAGUUUCAAGAAUGGAACUCAGCACAUAUUUACAAAGGAGCCAACACGACAUGCAUGAUGAAGUUUUAGAGAGCCUUUCAAAGUUUGAAAAAAAACUUUGUGAGAAUCUCACCAGAGUAGAGAUACGGGGGAAAAGGGGCCGCAAAGUGCCUGUCCUGUUCCCAACAAAUGUAAAAUAGUCUGUGGAACUUCUGAUUAAAACUAGAGAAGAGGCUGGGAUUUCCCCCACCAAUCCCUACAUCUUUGCUCGUCCAUAUAAUGGAUCCCAAGAGAGCUUUCGUGGAUGUGACUGUUUAAGAUGGUUUGCAGAAAGCUGUGGAGCUAAACUCCCACAGAAUCUCACAUCAACCAAAAUACGGAAACAUGUAGCCACAGUUUCACAACUCUUAAACCUACAAACCCACGAACUAGACCAGCUGGCAACUUUCAUGGGACAUGAUAUUGAGGUCCACAGGGAAUUUUACAGACUGCCAGAGGAAACAAUCCAAAUGGCAAAAGUCAGACUUCUUUUUGCUCUGCAAGGUGGAAUGGGUAAAUUCAAAGGAAAAUCCCUGGAAGACAUCACACCAAACAUCAACUCUGAGGAGGAGUCUAGUGACUCAGAAGCAGAUGUCCAAUCUGAAGGGACUGUUAACAGAACUCAAAAAGAAACGUCGAAGGAUAAACACUGCAAGGAGAGAACUUCAUCAUGCAAGGCAGCUGAGGGCAAUAAAAAGUCAUCAUUGGCAUCAAGUCAAAAGGGGAAAUCCAAAAGGCCCUGGUCAGAGACAGAAAGAAAAGUCAUCAUGCAGCAUUUCAAGGACCAUCUGAAGGAACUGAAGAUCCCUGGAAAAGUGGACUGUGAAAGAUGCAUAAAAGAGAAUCCGAUCCUAAGGGACAAUGGGAGAGACUGGAAAGCAGUUAAAUAUUUUGUGCACAACAAAAUUGCAGUUGUAAAGAGGAGCUUGUGCCAAGAAUAACACCACAAAUGCUUGGAACCAGAAUCCCGACACCUCACAUGAUGGACAGACAAUGUUAACCACUACCAUUACGGAGCGUCAGUGUUUUGUGCCUGAAUGCUGGGAGCUCGCACUACGGAGCGUCAGUCUAAGGGUCCCAGUGAUGCUCGUCCAUCUAAAUGGAGCUUUAACAUACUGAUUUUGAAAUAUGAGCUGUGCUCAAACCCAGCCAGUCAAGGCAGAGGGCUGCUCAUCCUGAGUCUGGUUGUGCUGGAGGUUUCUUCCUGUUAAAAGGAAGUUUUUCCUCUCCACUGUUGCCAAUGUGCUUGCUCAGGAUGGGAGACUGCGAUAAAGUGAAGAUUCAUCGCAUUCUUCUGGGUUUCUUAGACUUAUAACUGUAACUAAUUGCCUUUUAUGUGAAUGUUGUACAGUGCCCAAGGAGAAUGUUGGUUGGCACUAGACAAAUAAUUUUAAUAUAAUGUUUGGAGUCAAGAUAUUUACCUUACUGUCCUGUCCUGAUAUUUUGUUUUACUCAUUUUAUUUUUGUUUUUGUGCAUUCAUAAGAUAUUCAUAUAAACAUUGCACUAUUGACAAAAUGUCAAAACAACUGUUUAAGUACUUCAUCUAUUGUUACCUUUUAAAGUAAACUUUGACUGAAAAUACAAACUACUCUGCA